AUCUUUCGGGAUCUUGAGAGCGGCGUACGGGUGCGGAACACGUGUGCAACCUGCCUUUAUCUGGGGGAUAGCCUUUCGAAAGGAAGAUUAAUACCCCAUAAUAUGUUGGAUGGCAUCAUUCGACAUUGAAAACUCCGGUGGAUAGAGAUGGGCACGCGCAAGAUUAGAUAGUUGGUGAGGUAACGGCUCACCAAGUCUGCGAUCUUUAGGGGGCCUGAGAGGGUGAUCCCCCACACUGGUACUGAGACACGGACCAGACUCCUACGGGAGGCAGCAGUGAGGAAUAUUGGACAAUGGGUGAGAGCCUGAUCCAGCCAUCCCGCGUGAAGGACGACGGCCCUAUGGGUUGUAAACUUCUUUUGUAUAGGGAUAAACCUACUCUCGUGAGAGUAGCUGAAGGUACUAUACGAAUAAGCACCGGCUAACUCCGUGCCAGCAGCCGCGGUAAUACGGAGGGUGCAAGCGUUAUCCGGAUUUAUUGGGUUUAAAGGGUCCGUAGGCGGAUCUGUAAGUCAGUGGUGAAAUCUCACAGCUUAACUGUGAAACUGCCAUUGAUACUGCAGGUCUUGAGUGUUGUUGAAGUAGCUGGAAUAAGUAGUGUAGCGGUGAAAUGCAUAGAUAUUACUUAGAACACCAAUUGCGAAGGCAGGUUACUAAGCAACAACUGACGCUGAUGGACGAAAGCGUGGGGAGCGAACAGGAUUAGAUACCCUGGUAGUCCACGCCGUAAACGAUGCUAACUCGUUUUUGGGCUUUCGGGUUCAGAGACUAAGCGAAAGUGAUAAGUUAGCCACCUGGGGAGUACGAACGCAAGUUUGAAACUCAAAGGAAUUGACGGGGGCCCGCACAAGCGGUGGAUUAUGUGGUUUAAUUCGAUGAUACGCGAGGAACCUUACCAAGGCUUAAAUGGGAAAUGACAGGUUUAGAAAUAGACUUUUCUUCGGACAUUUUUCAAGGUGCUGCAUGGUUGUCGUCAGCUCGUGCCGUGAGGUGUUAGGUUAAGUCCUGCAACGAGCGCAACCCCUGUCACUAGUUGCCAUCAUUAAGUUGGGGACUCUAGUGAGACUGCCUACGCAAGUAGAGAGGAAGGUGGGGAUGACGUCAAAUCAUCACGGCCCUUACGCCUUGGGCCACACACGUAAUACAAUGGCCGGUACAGAGGGCAGCUACACAGCGAUGUGAUGCAAAUCUCGAAAGCCGGUCUCAGUUCGGAUUGGAGUCUGCAACUCGACUCUAUGAAGCUGGAAUCGCUAGUAAUCGCGCAUCAGCCAUGGCGCGGUGAAUACGUUCCCGGGCCUUGUACACACCGCCCGUCAAGCCAUGGAAGUCUG
rnacentral:rRNA from 1 species